UACAGAGGGUGCAAGCGUUGUUCGGAAUUAUUGGGCGUAAAGGGUGCGUAGGCGGUCUGACAAGUCUGAUGUGAAAUCUAUGGGCUCAACCCAUAGUCUGCAUCGGAAACUGUCGGGCUUGAGUAUGGGAGAGGUGAGUGGAAUUUCCGGUGUAGCGGUGAAAUGCGUAGAUAUCGGGAGGAACACCAAUUGCGAAGGCAGCUCGCUGGGACGUUACGUGACGCUGAGACGCGAAAGCGUGGGGA
rnacentral:rRNA from 1 species